UUGCCAGGAAUUUUUCCUUUUCACUAUUAUUCUCAUCUCUUUGCUAUUGAGUUUACCAGGUAAGUUUUUUAUCUUGCCUUAUGAUUUAGGUCUUGCAGUCGCCCGCCAGCCGUGGUCUCAGUUUCAGCUGGACAUUCUAGAUCUGAGUAGGGCACAUCUGGCACCAGGUCACUGGGAAGGCUGCAGGACGCACACCGCCCCUGUGGCAGGCCAUCUCUCCGUGGUGGUGGUCUCUGUAGCAGGUGACGCAGCGGUCCACUGGCUAUUCUCAGAUCACCCAAGUGACUUCUCAGGCGUCCAGCUGGAGUUGGUUCGAGUACUGACUCAGCAUCUUGAAAUGCCCUCGACAAGGACCUAAGUGCCCCCCUUCUCUGAGCUGACCUUCUCGGGGCAUAAAUCAUCCCACCCCUCAUGGUCCCAAGGUGUCAAUGCCAGAAUGAAAAGGGAGAUUUAACGCUGGCCACACUGUUGAGUGCCUGUAGGAGCCAGGUGGGAGCUGGGUGACAGGAGGGCUUCCAGAUGGAAACAACACCAAGUCCCUGCCCUCUGGGAAUUCAGCAUCCGAAGGGGAGCAGACAAUGUUCAGGUGAG